ensembl:lincRNA
UUUGAACCUUUAUUUCUUCAUCCAUAAAAUUGGAGGAAUAAUAGCAAGUCCAUGGUGUUGCAUAAUUACUGUCCUCAAAGGUUCACAGAGGAGGGGCAGUGGACAUUGUGGUACCUAUGGAGUUUUAUAUUUGUGGCUGUUGGACCCCGACUGCCCAAAUCCUGUGAGAGGUCAUGGAGACCGGAAGUGGCAUGUUCAGUGGGCAGCUCCUAUGCUUGAUGUCGGAGAUGUCUAGACCUGACCCUGACCCUCUCUGCCUGGAAUCCUGCAUCCAAGAAAGUGGACUCUCUUUGUUCCCAGAACUUGCUGUCCCCUUGGUUGCUGAGCAGAGGCCUGCUCAGAAUCUAUAACCAUGGGGAGAGUUGACACUUGCUUGGCUGAGAGCCGCAUUGUCACCGUAAAUACCAUAACUGGCCUGGGAGUUGCUCUUUUUUGGGGGUCAGUCACAAAGUUGGGUCAGCUCUUACACAAACCCACACAAUCCUGUCUCUGCUCUGUGUCAUCUCAGUAAGUCUGGCAUUCAUGUCUGUGCACAUCGUGAUAACAGCUCUCUGUUUGAGUUGGAGAAACCAAUGAUUAAAUGAGAUGUUUUGAU